GGAAUAUCACAAAAGAAAGAGUAUCAAUAAUAAAAUAAAAAGAUAAAAAAUAUCUGGGAUACGAACUCGAUACCUUCAGCUUUGACGGCGACCGUUUAUCCAAUGUGCUGUUGCACCUCUUAUGAGAUAUUGAGUAAUAAUGAAACGUUAUAGUGCAGACACGGUGAUCAUACAAUAUACCUUCUUAACAAAUGCAUCGCGGCUACAUCCACAAUGCAAUAAAUACAAAUAAAUCUGUUGAAAUUAAUUUGAAUAUUUAUUGCUACAACACUCUAUUGAAUAUUUCAUAUAGAAAAAAAUGCCAAAUAAAAAUAGAAUAGUAAUUCUAGAGAACUCUAGAGAAAUGCCAAACCGUACAGUAUCGAAAUGAAAAUCUAUUUUUACACAAUACAUAAUACAUAAAAAAAAUUCUUCUUUGACAUGCAUAUUUUAUUUUUCUGCUCACACGCGCACAUGCAUGACUUUACGCGCAGCGUUGCCGUGUGUGAAUGUAAGUCACUCUUAUGUACUCAGUCACAAUUCAAUUCUCGCGGCAAGCAGACGCGACUAUUGAUUGUGAUUCAGAGUGCUUUCUAUUCUCCAUCAGUUACCACCAGUUUCAUCAGCAAUUUUUGAGUGAAUUACUUAUUCGUUUGAAUUGUAUUGAAUAGGCUGAAAAAAGAAUUUAAUAUUUUUCGCCGAAUUUCAAUUGACAAUAAGAGUAUUUUUUUUAAAUAAAAAAAGGAAGCGGAAAAAAAUGGUGGGUGGGCCGACAAAGGAAUCAAACCUUUACAAGCAAAGUACAGAAGCAUACGGAAGAAUGGUGUGACUUUCGCCUAGAACGGUAUACCGUUCAAUUAUAUAGAGAAGGGGCAUUGAUAAUCCUUCAUAAUCCACAUUUUCAUCAUAUGCUAGUUAGUAUAUUAGUGAUGUUAGUACUGGAAACACACAACAGCAUCAGUAGAAACGUUGUUUCAUCAUUAGUAGGCUACUAGUCACCCAUUUACACCCAUUUAUCACCGCACCUUUAUCAGUGCAGCUUAACUUCACGUAUAGUUGUUAUGUGCUUGUACUGUCUUUGCUGAAAUCGACCUGCACAACGACCGUUUAAUAUUUCAUUUAUAUUGCAGCAUCAACCACUAAGCACUAUACCGAAAGUAAGACGACAAAGUGCACACUUGCAAUGAGUUACACACAUUUUUACUAUAAUUCAUUGAGGCGAUCGUAGUACGAACGAAUGUGAAUGAAUCUACUUUCAAAAAAUUUACAUGCUCACCAGUAAACAUUCUCAGCGUAUCAGAAUUUGUUUUCAAAAUAACACGUUUCGCAUCAAAUUUUUUUCCCCAAAUUCAUUCUUGAAGUGCCAAAAAUUCCCUUUUUGUGUUAUGUUCGGUCAUUUAUAUCUUUUAAACGACGCAAAAUAUUCGAUUCGAAUACUUUCUUCGGGAAAGUUGUAGCCCUUGAAGAGACAAAAAAAUAUCACUAAAGGAAGGAUCAAUGACCUAUCCUUGGGGGUAAAAAUGUCCCCAGAAGUAAUCCAUUAUGGCAAUGACCAAAAUGGGUCAAAAACCUUCCAAAUCCCAAAAUUGACCCUAUUUUUGGAUUCUUCACCAAUUUUUCGGAUUUUUGAUGCCAGAUGUCUUAUUUUGGACCACAUCCAGCAGUAAUUUUGAAAAAAAAAUCUGAUACACUGAGCAUGCUUACUUGAUUUUUUCAUGCAUUUGCAAACAUAUUUCAUAUUAAGAAUAUCUACAUUUUGCAAAACAAAGGGGAGAUAGAUAGACGGAAUUAAAAUAUUUAAAAUUCGGAAUAUCACAAAAGAAAGAGUAUCAAUAAUAAAAUAAAA